rnacentral:rRNA from 1 species
CGGCGGUAGUAACGCGUGGGGAACCUGCCCUGUACCGGGGGAUAGCAGCCGGAAACGGCUGAUAAUACCGCAUAAGCGCACGAAUGUCGCAUGACAUGGUGUGAAAAAACUCCGGUGGUAUAGGAUGGACCCGCGUCUGAUUAGCCGGUUGGUGGGGUAAAAGCCUACCAAAGCGAAGAUCAGUAGCCGAGUUGAGAGACUGACCGGCCACAUUGGGACUGAGACACGGCCCAGACUCCUACGGGAGGCAGCAGCU